UUGGACAUGGUGUACGGUACAUGGCCUCUUUUCCUGGGCUCAGGGAAGCUGCAUGAGGCAGAUCGGGGUUCGACUCCCCGUGUCCAAA